UCAAGAAACUUCCACAAUGGGCGAAAGCCUGAUGGAGCGACGUCGCGUGAUGGACGAAGUGCUUCGGCACGUAAACAUCUUUUUAUGUGGGAUGAAAUUAUUGACAGUACCACAUGAAUAAGGGGCUCCUAACUCUGUGCCAGCAGGAGCGGUAAUACAGAGGCCCCAAGCGUUAUCCGGAAUCACUGGGCGUAAAGGGUGUCGAGGCGGUUGUAUUAGUCGUUCGUAAAAUCUACGAGCUUAACUUGUAGGCGGCGAACGAAACGGUACGACUUGAGGUUUGGAGAGGUGCGUGGAACUCACGGUGUAGGGGUGAAAUCCGUUGAUAUCGUGGGGAACACCAAAGGCGAAGGCAGCGCACUGGCCAAAAUCUGACGCUCACACACGAAAGCUAGGGUAGCGAAGAGGAUUAGAUACCCAGGUAGUCCCUGAGCGGGCUGGCAAGGCGCAU
rnacentral:rRNA from 1 species